UAUGUAGGUCCCGAGCGUUGUCCGGAUUUAUUGGGCGUAAAGCGAGCGCAGGUGGUUUAUUAAGUCUGGUGUAAAAGGCAGUGGCUCAACCAUUGUAUGCAUUGGAAACUGGUAGACUUGAGUGCAGGAGAGGAGAGUGGAAUUCCAUGUGUAGCGGUGAAAUGCGUAGAUAUAUGGAGGAACACCGGUGGCGAAGGCGGCUCUCUGGCCUGUAACUGACACUGAGGCUCGAAAGCGUGGGGAGCAAACAGG
rnacentral:rRNA from 1 species